rnacentral:ncRNA from 1 species
UCUUAUUAUGAGUGAUUGAGGGAUCUGGCCCUAUGACGUCCGGCAACCAGCUUUUUAAAGCAUGGUGCUAAUUCCAGCGGUGUUAUGCCGAAAGAUAAGA